GCUCAUUAAGCAGGGGAAAGGAAAAACACCUCCUUGGGUUGAUCUGAAUAAUAUCAAAGCUUAGAUCCAUCUUAAAAAGUCAUGGAGAAUUUUAACCUGAGGAUCUCAUGGCUCUAAAGACAUAGAUUUCUGGAUUUCAAGGACCUAUUGUCCAGAGCCAGGCCUUGCUCUUACUCUUGGACCAUUCAGCACAUUUAGUCCAAGAGGAUAUUCAAUUACUCUCAAAAAGAAGACAAAUAUGAGGAAGAAAUCAAGAUUCUUACUGAUAAACUCAAGGAGGCAGAGACCCGUGCUGAGUUUGCUGAGAGAUCGGUAGCCAAGCUGGAAAAGACAAUUGAUGACUUGGAAGAUAAACUGAAAUGCACCAAAGAGGAGCACCUCUGUACACAAAGGAUGCUGGACCAGACCCUGCUUGACCUGAAUGAGAUGUAGAACGCCCCAGUCCCACCCUGCUGCUGCUCCUCCCUCUGACCCAGACUCCGCCUGAGGCCAGCCUGCCGGAAGCUGACCUUUAACUGAGGGCCGAUCUUUAACUGGAA
rnacentral:sRNA from 1 species